AAUGAUACAUUUUUUGAUUGGUAAAAUUAAAUAAAUUACAUUUUUUGUGUGUGUAAAAUAUAUCAAAUAAUCCUUACUCUAUUUUCUCCCUUUCUCAGAUACUCUCCUUCCCUCACACACACUUUUUCAUUCUUUUCCUUUUCGUCACCCUCACGCAUGGCGGCACCCUUACAGAGGCAGCCUUGCAUGUGUCGGUAACCUCACAAUUCAUUUCAUUUCCAUCACAAUUCCUUUUGUUUUCCCUCAUUCACCAGAAAACCCACCACCAUUAGUAGAAAAACCUCCCUCUCGUUUUCCCCCAAUCACUUCCUCACUCACCACCACUUUCAUUUUGUGAAUAUAAAUUUAGGGAUUUCUCUUCUCUCAAUAGAUGUUUAGAGAUUCCUUUUUUCCAAAAGCAAUUUCAGUAGAAAUUUAGGUUUUAUUUUUUGAUAGGGUUCAUUUUAAAAAAAAAUGUUGUUGUUAACUUGUUUCUUUCAGAUCAAUGUAUAACUUCUUAAUUUGAAAUUUUGUUUUCCUUUGGCAGUUGAAUGUGUUUGAGUUUUUGUUCGGUUUCUAACAAAGUCACACAAGGUAUGAUUUUUUUUUUAUUUUUUGUGAUUGUGAACUUGUGAUUAAACUUGACUAUGAUAGUGUAGUCUUUUUGGUUGGAAGGUUUCAGAAAAGGCAUAGUUUGCAGAGAUGCAAUGAUUUAUUUGUAGCUAGUUUGCCAGCUAAAAGUAUUUAAUUUUUAUAGAUAUAAUGUGAAAAUUGUUAUCUUUUGUGAAGCAUCAUAGCAAUAAUGUCUAAAACUGAGUGAACCCAUAUACUAUAUCUCUUGUGUCAAUUGUGAAUGUUAAGUUAGUUGAAUAGAUAUUUACUCAUAUGAUUGGAAUUGGAA
rnacentral:lncRNA from 1 species